UUGACCUCGGAUCAGGUAGGAAUACCCGCUGAACUUAAGCAUAUCAAAAGCCGGAGGAACCGCUC
rnacentral:rRNA from 1 species